AUCCAGUCUGCUGAAAGAGUCCGCAUAUCAGAAAGAAUCCUUGAAAGAUCCUUCUUCUUUCUGAAGGUAGUUCGCAACAUUGUCGCCAAAGUGUUUUGGACAAAAUCUGCAUGUAUUGUUUCCCACAAGGCAUCAGCUACCAAUGUGUCACAUCUAUGCAUCAAGGAUCCAACAUUCUUUACGUAGGUAAUGAGUUCAACAAGUGCCUUCCUUUCC
rnacentral:misc_RNA from 1 species